CUUGUCAAAAAAAUUGGCGUUUUUGUUUCCAUGAAACAUCUACUCCUUGGAUAGCCCAGAGUGUGGAAGUCGAUGCAAAGCGCUAAGCCAUUUAAAAUCUAAAUCAGACUUUAAUAAGGGAAUGUCAUGUUUCAUUUAAAAGCUUCUCUUCACCUCUUUUCUUAUGCUGUCAAGUGAAAGAAAAGCUGGCUUUAUAAUUACAUGGCUGCCUCUGCGUUAGAUUCUAUGUGAGAUCUCACGUUAUUUUUCCACACCUUUCCCUCUCUCAAGCCCUAUCCCACCUCCUUCCAUGUCUGCUAUCUAAUCCCCCCUCCCCAGCUUUCUUCCUUCUGCUUCCUGCUUCUUAAUGAGCUGACAGAAUGAUGGAGCUCUGUUGAUUAAGCUGCUGAAUGGCGGUGGCCCUUAUUAAUUUAGGAAUGACGAGCAAAAAAUAAAAUAAAUGACUAGUGUGAAAUGUUUCUCACUGCGGAUCAUCAUCGUAGCCCUACUGGGUAGAAGAUUAGGUGAUUUUGGUUUCCACUGCACAGCAGAGCGUGAAAUCAGAUGGAAUUUAACUUUGACAGAUAUUUACUCUCUCUUUAGUAAUAAAGAAUUAGUUUUGUAGGGUUUUUAUUUGACCCUUCUUAUAUUCCCUGAAUUCUACGUUUCCUCUGGGGUCAGUUUUUCUCUGUUUAGCUUUCUUCUUCAUACUGUAGGCUUUUCUCAAAUAUUUGGGCAUUCUCAGUUGUCUGGCUAUUCUUAAGAAUGAGACAGGAGAAAGACUGACUAGACACUCUAAGCACAGGAGUGGAACUUGCUGACCGGCAGGCUUCAAUUUAGGGUAAACAGCCAGAGAUCUGUUUGUUGUGCUGUGGCCCCUCAAAUGCCAGAAUGUAGAUGGCUUCGUGCUGGGGUACCAGUGAUGACUCUAGAUGCCCAAGUGUUCUCAGAAAGAUCCUUCAGUGUCUUUUAAAAAGUCCCUGUUGGUCAUUUUUUGGUUGGCUGCUUGGUUUUGCUCUUUUCUGUGGUCAAACUACCUAGUUGCCAGGGUUCUUGGCACCAGAGUUGAGGAGGUGUGUGGAGGACGACCAUUUCAUACACAGACCUUCACUGUCUUCUGUCUCCCCUUCAUCCAGGAACUUCUCUGAGUCCCCGACCUCUGCAAGGUUCUACCACAUAGGGAGGCACCCUCAUCUCCUGCGAGACUCUUCAAGCAUAUCCUGAGCUAUAGCUUCUUCUACUCAGUGCUCUUCCAUAUACUCUGUCUUCCAGAAAUUCAUUGAAAUCACUUAUCCUCUUGUUCUCUAAACCCUUUUGGUAUGUACCUUUUAUAUCCCAUUACUAUAAGUAUAAGUGAGUCUUAGAAGGGAUAGGAAAUAAAUAUGUAUGCUCAAAUCCCCAACAUGAACCAGUAGCAAGGGUAGGUAUUCUUCCCAUUUUACACAUGGAAAACAGAGGCUUAUGUGAUUAAGUGACUUGCCUAAGAUCACGUAGCUAGAAAGGGAAGGGCCAGGAUUAAACUUGUAUUCUUUUGACUCUGCUAAACUACUUCUUUUUGUCCAAACCAUGGCUCAGCUGGUAUGACCUGGAAAAAAAAGAAUUUACAUAAUACUAUGAGUUUUAAAUAUGCUGUCACUUGUGCAUAAAAAUGAUCAGAAACUGCCCAGACUAAAAACUGUGCAACAUCAUUUUACAAGUUGCAUACCUAGAUACAAUGAGAAAUCAUCAAAGUCAUAAAACAGCAAUUUUAUAUUGGGUGGGUCAGGUUGGAGUGGACCAGAACUGAGGAGAGAAAAUUGGUAGGAAAGGCUGGAUUAUCAUUUGGGUAACGGUGGCAAGGGCUUGGCACACUGAAUGCUCUCAGCUCUAUCAAAUCUACUUUAGAAGUCACAAUUGGGGAGCAAUUGCCCCAAAGAGGUGGUGCAGACUCCAGAGCAGUGGCAUGGAUGGAAGAGACUUGUUGGGAAGACAGGGCACCCCAUCCACUUGGAAGCCACUCUCUCAUAUACAUUUAAUAAUUGUUAAGUGACUGCCAUGUACAGACACUGCAAUAGACUCUAGAGACACUUUCACCUUCAGCCAGGGUGAUAUCUGCAAAAGAUGAAGAUCUCUUUGUUUCUGGAGACUUCUAGAAAUCAAAACCCUACAAUAUCUCAUAGGAACACAUCACAUUCAUAAUGGUUUAAGAUUUAAAGUAUUAGAAUUGUUCUAGUUCAACUGCAAAGGUAGUUUUGAGGGCUUUUGAAUAGCUAGUCAUUUAUUCCACAAAUCUUUAUUGAGCUUCUAGUUAAUGGCAGCCACUGGAGCUAGGACCUAGGGACACAAUGGUGAAGAAUACGAGAUUAUUUCUAAUGUUUACCACUUAGCCACCAAAGACAAUGCUGAGGCACCUAGUUUUCUCUUUCUCAGAGGCAGAGGCCAAGUUAUCUUCUAAGUAUGAAAUGUAGAGAUUGACUCUUGUUAGGGCCACAGAAAACUGGGGAGGUGGAUGGUGAACAUGCUAUUAGCUGGUAUUAGUUCACUGUGAUAUUAAUUUAGAUGCAUGAUAUCCUGGCGAAGAACAGAUCUUAACAGAAGAUCUUUCUGCUCACAGUGUUUUUCUCGAAUUUUCACCUUUCCUGUGGCUGUUUUGGUCUCAUUCUGACACUGUAGGAAAAUUCACGUGAAAUCUGGAACAAGUGAGCAUGUACCCUCUGUCCUCAAAGGUUGGGACACAAGCCUGUGAACUUGGAAAGAGAACAAAGCUUUCUAGUAUGAUAAACAAAGAAAAUGGAGAUUAAAAAGUCUGGUUUCCUCUUUUUUGCAUCAGCACAUACCAGCUGUCAGAUACCUCUGAAUAAUCUAUUUCUUCUGUUCCUGAAAGGUAGAUAUUAUUAUUACAGCAUUUCCAGAAGGAAGUAUAUUUUAAUUUUCAAUAAAAAUGGCCACAAAUGAAGUGGUAAUGCAAAGAACAGAAGAGAAACUUUUACAGCUAUAGUAUUUGCAUUUGUGACUUUUUCCGUCUAAUUCCACUUUCUCCACUGAUCCCUGAAACCUCGCCAGCAGGCUGACACCCUGAUAAACUCCAAAAGGAAGAAGGAAAACAGUCUGAAAGGCAGGGAGGGUGUGGUCGCUAGAGGGGUAUGGUGAACAAGAAGAAAAGUGCAGCUACUCCAGUGCAUGCAGAUAAGGCGUGAGGUUCAAGGGCUGAAAGGAAGCACACAGAUUGCAGCGUGCCCACUUGGUACUGGUGACAGACUUCCAACGGAGGAGCCCCACCUUCGGGUUCUUUUGUUUAGGCCUGACUUCCAAACAAAGCAAGCUGGACGACCAGUCCUAACAUCAAGCAGCAGAAAGCUUCCUUCCUUUGGAAAAUCUAGUAAAGGCAUCUCUCUAAGCCCUCUUAUUGCAAAAACGGCCUGCUUUCUCCUGAAGUUUCUGCUGUUAGAGAAGACUUGCGAAGGCUGUGAUAGCAGAGUGCAAAGAGGUAGGCAUUUAGGAUAAAAACAUGAGUGCACGUCCAUCCAACCCCUCAGGGCUAAUUCCCCUCCCUGAGCCUCAAAUUCUUCACUGUAUAAUGUGGUCGGGAGGUUGAAUCAGAAAACAAAAGUGGUUCUAAAUUUCUAAAAGACUUCUUUUCUCUAUUUCCCUCUUUACCUCUUUCUUCCAAUUAAAAAAGCUUAAGCUGUAAAAUCAUAAUCCAGUCUACCUACUUUCCACAUUUUUUUCUGAGUGUGCUGUGGAGUCGACUCUGACUCCUAGUGAGCCUACCCAGUCUUUAUUGGCUCCAUCCUUUCACCUUCCAGCUCUGUAUUUGACAAUGCUCCACUGCCCUUCACAGGGCUUUCACAAUCAACUUUUUUCAGAAGCGGCUGGCCAGGUCCUUCUUCCUAGUCUGUCUUAGUCUGGAAGCUCUGCUGAAACCUGUCCACCAUGGGUGACCCUGCUGGUGUUUGAAAACCGGCGGCAUAGCUUUCAGCAUCCCAGCAACAUGCAGCUGCCACAGUAAGAUAACUGACAGACAAGUGGCGUGGUUCCCUGACCUGGAAACGAACCCCAGACUGCAGGGUGAGAGCGCUGAAUCUUAACCACUAGAUCACCGGGCUGGCUGCUUCCCAUAUACCCGAGAUUAAUUUAAGCACAUUCUGAGUAACAUGAUAAAGUUAUCUUUAGAAACAUACACACACCAGUUUCAGAAUGGCACCCCCUGGGGUCCCUGCUGCCAAUUUGGUCCAGGAACACAAAGUCAGCAUCUUGAUGUCAGGCAGUGUCCUGGCCAACACCCACUACCCACUGCAGUUGGUGCUUUCUCAGAAGACAACACCUUGCUUUCAAAACUGUCUACUUUUUUGCUCAAAACAAUGAUGGAUGGAUGGAUAGGUCUUCAUUUGACUCACUACCUGAAAAAUCAGCUUCUCAUGUGAUUUCCCCAAAGCAGAAUUAACUCACAUAAUUUUGUGUCACAUACCAGGGCUCUUCCUUGCAUAAAAAACAGUAAGAUAUCACCAAACUCUGGCCUGAAAGUUCUUCUAGGAUAUCUUGUGGUAUCACCAUUCCUAGGUGCAUGGUAGUCAUAAGUGACUUCAUCAGCCAAAUAUGAAACUGGUUCGAUACUGCCCCUGUAGGAGUCAAAUUCUUAUGCAUUUACAACUUAAUAAAUUACCAUUCAGGGUUGUAUUAGCAAGUUUGCUUUGUUCCAGCCCUUUUAUAGUUGAGACUCCCAGAUUUCUGUUUCAGGUUGGAAUUGGCAAAUGAACUUUUCAAAGCAUUUCAUCCUCACAAGUCACAUCUUGUCAUCUUUCAUAUCCACAUGAGACACCAAGCCCUAUUUCACUCUUGUUUAAAUUUUAUUAUCAUUGUUAUUAGGAAUAAACCAAUAGAAAUAGGAUUACAAAGGGAAAGGUUCAGGAUGAAUAACUUCUUCCUUAUAAAUUCAAACACAGGUGCACACACACAUGCUGGUCUGUGUGAGUUACUUCCUCCCCACAUUCUGUCCUCCUGCACAAACAGUUAUACAAAACAGUCCGCACAACAAUGUGAGCAGCUGGUACCACAACCUGAGCAAAGGACCCCAGUUGUGUCAAGUCUCAGGCUGACUCUUGGUCGAGAUGACCAGCUUCUCCACGCUAAGAGUACUUGUGGUUUCAUCCUCUUCAUUUGACCCAAAAUAUCCCGGGAGGUCCAGCAUCCUCUGCUCGGCUUCAGUGAGGCCGAAUGAUGUAUUGUCGUAGAAGGCGAACUCGGGGUGCGCGGGAAGCUCUGGCACUUGUCUUUCCGACAUUGAGAAGGGCUCAGAGGACUGACCCUCUGGUAGCUAUCUUUGGGGGCAGUGGGGAGGGCUGCUUCCUUGAGACACUCCUGUGACUGGGGGACGGUCCCCGCCGAGCUCUGUGAGGCUCUGUUCUCUCGCCUCCUGCCACCAAUCCCGCCUGACGAUCCCCUAGGUCUGGCUUCCUGGUGGGCUGCCCCAAGGUGUAGGAUUUAGGGAGGGGGCUUAGUGGACCAGCGGUUCCACCUGCCCCUUGGAAAUGGUCCAGUUUCUCAGGAAGCGCGGCAGCACCCCGACUCUGAGGCCUGAACCUGUCUUCUGCCUGGUCCCAGGUCCGCGUCCUAGAACUGUAGGCGGGGCCUGCCGUGGGGUCAGGGUGACAUGCUCCUCUCCCUGAAGGGCCGCGCCUGCUUGGUCUCGUGGAAACUGGCUGUCCUCCGGAAGUGGGAACUCCUGGGGUGGCUCCGCUCCGACAGCCCCCCUCUGCUGCCCACGUGCCUCAUCUGGGAUUUGCGGAUCACGGUCUGGCUGGGGCUCACGGCACAAGUGGCCUGCGAGACCCCGACAUCCAGCCUGGAGGGAGGCCUCUCCCCGGCGCUGACCGCGGGCUGGUCCAGAAACGGGGAUUUGAUCCUGAACUUGUUUGCGGCAGCUUCUUCCGGGUUCUCCAAGUCUAAGAGGGCGACGGCGGCGGCGGCGGCGUCGAUGGCCGUGUCUGUCAGGGGGCUCUGAGACACGUGGUACACCUUGGUGGUUUCUGUCAGGCCUUUCUUUUUCAUCUCCUUCAGCUGCUGCUGGGCAAGGCGGUAGCUGAACAGCGGUGGGAUUAUCUUCUGCGCGUUGGACUGGAAGCUGUCACUGCCGGAAGCGUCGUCCUCGGGAGUGGCCGGCACGCUGCGCCUGUAGGUCAGAGGGAUGCCCAUGUCCCCCGGGCCCCCCACAGGCCCGUCACCCCCAUCCGAGAAGCUCCCGCGCUGCUGGCUCAGCUCGCAGAUGUUCUCCUCAUCUGAGUUCUUCCGGAAGCUGGGCGAGUGGAGGGAGUUGUGCCGAGCGGGGUGCUGCACUUGGGGGGCGGCCGAACUUCCUCCACAGCGUGAUGAGGACGGUGGCCACGAUGAUGAACAAGCACAGCGAAAUCCCAGUGACCGUCACGAUGUUGUUGGACUUCACCGGGCCCUGCGGCUGAAGAGGAGACGGGCUGGAUGGCCGGAAAGCUACAAAAAAGGAGAAGGGAGAUUGUUUCCACCCCAAGACUAUCUGAAGGAAUGCAGCCUAUGAAAUAUUCACAUCUGCAAGACAUUUCGCUCAAAAGACUAAGGAGCUGAAGGAGAAGAGGAAGACACCUGGGUUUCUGGUUUGAACAAUGAGAUGGGUGGUGGAGUCCAGCACUGAGGAGCAAGAUUAGGGGGUAAGAUGAUGAAUCCAAUUCCAGGUACAUUGCUUUUGAGGUGCCUGGGAGCCAUCUUAGGGGUGACAGCUAUUCAGCAGCUCUUGGAUGCAGGGGAGAGGCGCCAAUCUGGAGUCGUCGGCCAGGACAGUAAUCACUUAGGAAGUGUGUGAGGAGUAAAACAAUGCAGAAGUCCAACACUGAAGGGAUGAGAGGAGGUGGUGGAACUGGCAGGCAAAGGAGACAGCCACGGAGGUAGGAAGUAAACAAGGUGAGUAUGAGGUCACGGAAUCAAGGUCAAUGAAGAUACGGAGGACUGAAAAGCACCCCCAGAUUUGGGGACCUGGAAGUCGUCUGCUGGCUGCUUUAGUGACACCAUUUUCAAGGGAGGGGUGUGGGUUUCGAGUGGGUUGAAAAGUGAAUGUGAAGUGAAGAAAUGAACCCCAAAGUGUAGGCAACCUUUUCAAGAACCUGGACUAUAAAAGGAAGAGAGAAAGAGGGUCUUACUUGUUGGAGAACCAGGGGUUGAGGGGCGGGGUCUGUUUUGUUUUUAGAUAAGAAAAUUAAGUACAUCUCAAAGUUGAUGGGAAUGAGCCAGUAAAGAGGGACAGUUAAAGACAGGAGAGAGAGAGGAUAACGAUUAACACAAGUUUCCUGAAAUGAGCGGAGAGGCUGGGAUCCACAGUGGAGGGGAGGGUUGACCUUGUACCGGAGGAAUGACACCUCUCCUCCGGUGACAGCAAAGAAGGGGGAGAGGAUGGGACGAUGCCUGUAGGCCUACAGAGAUUUCAGUGGGAGGGCGAGGGAGCUCACACCUGAUGGCUUGCAGCUACUCUGUGUGGUCAGAGGCAAAGUCAGCUCUGAGAGUUAGCCAGGGAGUAGGUGAGGUCCAAAGAGAAAGCAGGAGGGCUAAACGAGCUGUCGUGGGGAACAGGAGCAGAGCCGACCAGGGUGCCUUACUGGGUGGCAUGGUGAACCCAGCGGAGAGGAGAGGCAUGACCCACCCACACUGGCCCCAGUGUGCUUGGGUGUGACCUUCUCGUCCAGCUUGGGUACAGUGGGCGGCUGGCAGAUUGCUGCAUCCAUGCAGAGCUGGGGUGUGGCCUGGCAGGUGCAACGGAAGAACAACAGGGCAGAGGAGUUUACGGUAUUAGUAGGAAAGUGAUUAAAGGGAUGGGCCACAGAAUCUAGGCCAGAUAGAGAGGUAAGUGCAAGCAGGGAAGUGGCCAGUGGGCGGGGACAGAGUCAAAGGAAGGGGACGUCUUCUAAAAAGAGAAUGUGGGUGAAUUUGGAGCAAAAUACACUUGGAGUUACAAAGAUGGCCCAGGUUUGGGCCAUGAGGGGGCACAGGCUCAGUAGGGAUGAAGGUAAGAGCAUAUGUAAGUGACCCAGGCAAUCUCUGCCAGAUUAGCCUCUUGCCAAGACCAGGCCUGCACCCAGCAAAAGGGAAAGAAAGGCAGAGGAACAUGCGGGGUGGAGGGGAUGGUGAUAACCCCCUUUCCUGUGAUUAGCUAGGGCAUUACCCAAAGAAUCCAGAAUUUGAAGAAGUUUAAAAAUCUUGCUCUGUAAUCUCACUAAACAGACUUCAUUCCUCUAAGGAAGGAGAUGUACUCAGCUGAAGGAAGACAGAAGUUACUAAACACGAUUUGGGAUUUAGCUUUGAAUUCUGAUCGUACCUGCCAUGGAUUUGCCCUGUGACAUAAUAAUAUAAUUUUUAAAAUAUAAUGUAAUAAUAGCUAAUGUUUAUUGGUGCUUCCUAUAUGCCAGGCACUAUGCUAAGAACUGUAUCCAUUUCCUUCAUUCAAUUCUCACAACUCUCGGAGGUAGAUACUCUUACUAUGUCCACUUUACUGAUGGGGAAACCGAGACCUAGAGAGGUUACAUGAGUGGCCAGCCAGGUCUGUUUAUCGGGACUCUUGACUUUUUAUAUAAGGAUGAUAAUGCCGUUUGGGACAUUAUGAGGAGUAAACCAUAAAAAUUAUGAUAUAGUUCAUAGAAAAUUAAGUUCACUUAAAUUCAAAAUCAUAAUUUUGAUUGCAUGAAGGCAUCAAUUUGAUUUAAAAAUUUUUUUUUAAAUCUCAAUACCAACCUAUAUUUCUCUGAAUUAGCAUGCACUCCUUCUCCUUUGUGGAAAAAUGGCUUCUGCUGGAAACACCAAAGUCAAAACAGUACUUAUUCCUCCCCAUGUCAAACAAAGUGCAGUUGAAUACUGUUCUCCUCUCUCCCAAGUUCAGGCUGUUUUCAG
rnacentral:lncRNA from 1 species